rnacentral:tRNA from 1 species
GGGGCCGUAGCUCAGUUGGGAGAGCGCUUGAAUGGCAUUCAAGAGGUCAGGGGUUCGAUUCCCCUCAGCUCCA